rnacentral:piRNA from 1 species
UGCACAGACAGCCUCUGUCACCAGUUAGUG